rnacentral:rRNA from 1 species
AACGAACGCUGGCGGCAUGCCUAACACAUGCAAGUCGAACGAGACCUUCGGGUCUAGUGGCGCACGGGUGCGUAACGCGUGGGAACCUGCCCUUAGGUUCGGAAUAACUCCCCGAAUGGGGUGCUAAUACCGGAUAAUAUCUUCGGACCAAAGAUUUAUCGCCUUUGGAUGGGCCCGCGUUGGAUUAGCUAGUUGGUAGGGUAAUAGCCUACCAAGGCGACAAUCCAUAGCUGGUCUGAGAGGAUGAUCAGCCACACUGGGACUGAGACACGGCCCAGACUCCUACGGGAGGCGGCAGUGGGGGAUAUUGGACAGUGGGCGAAAGCCUGAUGCAGCAAUGCCGCGUGAGUGAUGAAGGCCUUAGGGUUGUAAAGCUCUUUUACCCGGGAUGAUAAUGACAGUACCGGGAGAAUAAGCUCCGGCUAACUCCGUG